CAAAGAAGGUAAUAAUCCUGUAGUCGAAAAUGUUGUCUCUCUUGAGUGGAUCCUGAGUACGACGGAGCACGUGAAAUUCCGUCGGAAUCUGGGAGGACCAUCUCCUAAGGCUAAAUACUCUCUAGUGACCGAUAGUGAACCAGUACCGUGAGGGAAAGGUGAAAAGCACCCCGGAAGGGGAGUGAAAUAGAACCUGAAACCGUGUGCUUACAAGUAGUCAGAGCCCGUUAAUGGGUGAUGGCGUGCCUUUUGUAGAAUGAACCGGCGAGUUACGAUUUGAUGCAAGGUUAAGCAGUAAAUGUGGAGCCGUAGCGAAAGCGAGUCUGAAUAGGGCGUUUAGUAUUUGGUCGUAGACCCGAAACCAGGUGAUCUACCCUUGGUCAGGUUGAAGUUCAGGUAACACUGAAUGGAGGACCGAACCGACUUACGUUGAAAAGUGAGCGGAUGAACUGAGGGUAGCGGAGAAAUUCCAAUCGAACCUGGAGAUAGCUGGUUCUCUCCGAAAUAGCUUUAGGGCUAGCCUCAAGUGAUGAUUAUUGGAGGUAGAGCACUGUUUGGACGAGGGGCCCCUCUCGGGUUACCGAAUUCAGACAAACUCCGAAUGCCAAUUAAUUUAACUUGGGAGUCAGAACAUGGGUGAUAAGGUCCGUGUUCGAAAGGGAAACAGCCCAGACCACCAGCUAAGGUCCCAAAAUAUAUGUUAAGUGGAAAAGGAUGUGGCGUUGCCCAGACAACUAGGAUGUUGGCUUAGAAGCAGCCAUCAUUUAAAGAGUGCGUAAUAGCUCACUAGUCGAGUGACACUGCGCCGAAAAUGUACCGGGGCUAAACAUAUUACCGAAGCUGUGGAUUGUCCUUUGGACAAUGGUAGGAGAGCGUUCUAAGGGCGUUGAAGCAUGAUCGUAAGGACAUGUGGAGCGCUUAGAAGUGAGAAUGCCGGUGUGAGUAGCGAAAGACGGGUGAGAAUCCCGUCCACCGAUUGACUAAGGUUUCCAGAGGAAGGCUCGUCCGCUCUGGGUUAGUCGGGUCCUAAGCUGAGGCCGACAGGCGUAGGCGAUGGAUAACAGGUUGAUAUUCCUGUACCACCUAUAAUCGUUUUAAUCGAUGGGGGGACGCAGUAGGAUAGGCGAAGCGUGCGAUUGGAUUGCACGUCUAAGCAGUAAGGCUGAGUAUUAGGCAAAUCCGGUACUCGUUAAGGCUGAGCUGUGAUGGGGAGAAGACAUUGUGUCUUCGAGUCGUUGAUUUCACACUGCCGAGAAAAGCCUCUAGAUAGAAAAUAGGUGCCCGUACCGCAAACCGACACAGGUAGUCAAGAUGAGAAUUCUAAGGUGAGCGAGCGAACUCUCGUUAAGGAACUCGGCAAAAUGACCCCGUAACUUCGGGAGAAGGGGUGCUCUUUAGGGUUAACGCCCAGAAGAGCCGCAGUGAAUAGGCCCAAGCGACUGUUUAUCAAAAACACAGGUCUCUGCUAAACCGUAAGGUGAUGUAUAGGGGCUGACGCCUGCCCGGUGCUGGAAGGUUAAGAGGAGUGGUUAGCUUCUGCGAAGCUACGAAUCGAAGCCCCAGUAAACGGCGGCCGUAACUAUAACGGUCCUAAGGUAGCGAAAUUCCUUGUCGGGUAAGUUCCGACCCGCACGAAAGGCGUAACGAUUUGGGCACUGUCUCAACGAGAGACUCGGUGAAAUCAUAGUACCUGUGAAGAUGCAGGUUACCCGCGACAGGACGGAAAGACCCCGUGGAGCUUUACUGUAGCC
rnacentral:rRNA from 1 species